CAACUGCCCUGAGGGCCUGCUGAGGCUGAGGGAGACGUCGGGGCCUGCACCUGGAGGGAGCCUGCCGCGCUGGCCCCGAGGAGGGGGCGUUGCCAUGGCGACAGCCUCUCCCGCUGCUGACGGGGGGCGGGGGCGGCCCUGGGAAGGAGGGCUGGUCUCCUGGCCCCCUGCCCCUCCCCUUACUCUCCCCUGGACUUGGAUGGGCCCGAGUUGGGGGCAACACCCCGGGGUGGGUGAUGCUGAAUGGUCCCCCCAAGAUUGGGCCUUGGUUAAUGCAUGCGGGCAUUGGGGCUUUCCAGCUUUCACAGAACCUUCAGCAUCCCCAGCUGCCGGUCUUGGGAUCUUCGAAGUAAGGAGAGUUUUAGAUGCUUCUGGAUGUUCAAUGCUAGCACCUUUACAGACUGGAGCAGCUCGAUUUUCUUCGUAUUUACUUUCAAGAGCAAGAAAAGUGCUGGGCUCACACUUAUUUUCUCCCUGUGGUGUUCCGGAGUUCUGCUCCAUAUCCACCAGAAAGCUGGCGGCCCACGGCUUUGGCGCAUCCAUGGCGGCAAUGGUGUCCUUCCCUCCCCAGAGGUAUCACUACUUUUUAGUGCUGGAUUUUGAGGCCACGUGCGACAAGCCACAGAUUCAUCCUCAGGAAAUCAUUGAGUUCCCCAUCCUGAAGCUAAAUGGCCGGACCAUGGAGAUUGAGUCUACCUUUCACAUGUAUGUCCAGCCUGUAGUCCAUCCACAGCUUACCCCCUUCUGUACAGAGCUCACCGGGAUUAUUCAAGCCAUGGUGGAUGGUCAGCCAAGCCUGCAGCAAGUGCUGGAGAGGGUCGAUGAGUGGAUGGCGAAGGAAGGCCUCUUAGAUCCAAACGUCAAGUCAAUUUUUGUCACCUGUGGAGACUGGGACUUAAAAGUCAUGCUCCCAGGCCAGUGCCAGUACUUGGGCUUACCAGUGGCGGAUUACUUCAAGCAGUGGAUUAAUCUGAAAAAGGUGGAAGGUCCCUGCUUCUAUUGGGACAGGAGGGAAGAAGAAGAUGGGCUCAUGUGGAGGCUUACAGCUUCGCCAUGGGCUGCUGGCCCAAGAAUGGACUUCUAGACAUGAACAAGGGCCUCAGCCUGCAACACAUAGGCCGGCCCCACAGCGGCAUUGACGACUGCAAGAACAUUGCCAACAUCAUGAAGACACUCGCCUACCGAGGCUUCAUCUUCAAGCAGACAUCGAAACCGUUCUGAUCGGCCAAGGACAGGAUGGGGCAGGACAGGGUAGCUGUUUGGCCCAGCCCAGAAUCAUCUACUCCCUCACCAGAGGGGAAGAGGGAGAGUGGCAUAGCUCUGCAUCCAGAGUGUCCCCCAGCUGCCCUGUGGGCUUGUGCCCUUGGCAAGGGCUUGGCCACUUGGCCCUUCUGGAGCAGACACUUUGUGACCCCCAUCCCCACCCCUCGAUCUCAGCCCAGUAUCAGCCCCUCCCAUUGUGGGCCUGGGCUAGGGGGACCCAGGCACUCACCGCCUCCUCCCUGGUACACAGGCUUCUGUGGGGCCACCAAGCCCCCCUGUGCCCCCUCCCAUCCAUAGUGCAUGGUGUGUGGUGCCCCCAGGGCUCCAGGACAGAUCAGGCCCCACCUUGUGUCUACCCCCAUCCCCGCUGUGAACGUGCCACUGAAUAAAGUCGGGGAAACGAG